CUGUUCACCCUGGAGGGCUCAGCUAAAUGCCAUGAUAGCUAAUUAUCACCCAGAAGCCCCCAUCCCUACCUGGGCAGGGUCCCCUGCAAGAGGCUUUUGUAGCGCAGUGAUCAGCACUUCUGCAGAAUGGGACCCAUCCACGUUGCGGCAUCACCAUCUGCAUCCUACUCUGUCCCUGCAGCAGACUGAAAGUGUUCUCAGGGCAGGAACUUUCUCAGGUACCUGAGGCCUCUUGCUGGGGUUUCCUCCAACACACUCCCACUUUGGCUAGAAUUCCAUGCUCCCUGCUCUCUCCUCAGCUCAAGCUGCCAUGUUAUAAGGAAGCCUCCACAUACACCCUCCAGGGUGACUUCCAGCCAACAGCUGGUGACGAACUGAAGCUCUCAGUCCAACGCCCCACGAGGAGUGGAAUCCUGCUGAAAACCACGGAGUGAGCUUGGAAAUGGAUCUCGUCCCAGUCAAGCCUUUAGAUGACUGCAGCCCCCCUCAACACCUUGAUUGUAGCUUGUGAGACCUUGUGAGCCAGAGGACUCAGCUAAACUGUGCCCAGAUUCCAGAGUCACAGACAUAAUGUGACAUAGCUCAUGCUUUUAUUUUAAUCCACUAAAGUUAGAGUAACGUGUUAUGCUGCAAUAGGUAAGUAACACAUUAUUGACCAGAAAUGUAUUAAUAUGUCUUUAGUUACCUGAAUGCUAUUGACUAGAGUGCCUCAAUAUAUAUACUUGUGUGUUCACUUACGUAACAAAUUAUAGGCCACAGGUGUCAGUUUCUGCAAA